UACGAAGGGGGCUAGCGUUGUUCGGAAUUACUGGGCGUAAAGGGCUCGUAGGUGGCCAACUAAGUCAGACGUGAAAUCCCUCAGCUUAACUGGGGAACUGCGUCUGAUACUGGAUGGCUUGAGUUUGGGAGAGGGAUGCGGAACUCCAGGUGUAGCGGUGAAAUGCGUAGAUAUCUGGAGGAACACCGGUGGCGAAGGCGGCAUCCUGGACCAAUACUGACACUGAGGAGCGAAAGCCAGGGGAGCAAAUGGG
rnacentral:rRNA from 1 species